AGCGAACGCUGGCGGCGUACUUAACACAUGCAAGUCGAACGAGGAUCAUCGGGUUAGCAAUAAUUCGGUGGUCCUAGUGGCGCACGGGUGAGUAACACGUGGGUGACCUGCCCUUGAGCUCGGGAUACCCCCUCGAAAGGGGGGCUAAUACCGGAUACGUUCCUCGGUCGAAAGACUGAGGAGGAAAGGUGGCGCAAGCUGCCGCUCUUGGAGGGGCUCGCGGCCUAUCAGCUAGUUGGCGGGGUAACGGCCCACCAAGGCUAUGACGGGUAGCUGGUCUGAGAGGACGACCAGCCACACGGGGACUGAGACACGGCCCCGACUCCUACGGGAGGCAGCAGUGGGGGAAUUUUCCGCAAUGGGCGAAAGCCUGACGGAGUGACGCCGCGUGU
rnacentral:rRNA from 1 species